AACAGCAGUAGAGCACACUGAAUACACAAGUGUUCCUAAUUGAUCACUGAAGUUAAGCAACGUAGUGCGUGCUUAGUGUGCGGAUGAGUGAUCAUUUGUGCAAUCUCGUGCUACUAAGU
rnacentral:rRNA from 1 species